GGAAUUAUGAUUUCUUAAUAAUUGGCCGCAACGCAAAAUAGAACAUUCUAUGAUUCUUUAGUGACCUGAGAGUUAGCCGCCUAUCUUUUCCCAGUGCUGAUUUUUAUAUUUGUGGUUUUGCAGCAGAAAGAAGACUUACUUCUUGCAGUAAUUCUGUUAGCUCACAGACUGUCCCUCUAAUCUGUUUCAGGGUUUAAUUCUGCUGUCCAUUCCUCUAGACUGAGUCCUCAUCUUCCUGAAGUGAAUUCAAGAGCUCCAGUGACUACAAUUCUUCUUAAGGCUUCCCAAGUAUGGUUACAAAUUUAAUGCCUGUUCUACCUUCCACAUUCAAAUCUGAAGUGUCAAGCUAAGGAAAUUAAAAAAUGAUAUAAAGUUUUCUCUAACCCUGACAACCUCAAAAGAAAAUGACAAAGCAUGGUUUAAAAAUGAACCUAAACCACAGACUGGGAAUGAACUCAGUAAGAUUUUAUGGAAAGUACCACUAAACUCUCUAAACUUAAGGAAAAUAUUCUUCCUGUAAAAAGUUUAAAUCACCCCUUAAAGUACUAUCACGUGUGCCGGUUUUGAAGCUCUAUUCAAAGCUUCUGAACCCUCUGUUCAGCACUGAUCAGACCACACCUGGGAUGCCGCGUCCCACCCUGGGCUCUGCGGCCUGAGAGAGGCAUGGACGUACUGGAGUGGGGCCUGCGAUGUGCUGCAAGGAUGAUGGCGGGACUGGAGCACCUGACAUACCAGGAGAGGCUGAGAGAGCUGGAACCAUUUCACCCAGAGAAGAGAAGGCUCGUAGGGGAUCUUUUCAGUGUGCAGAAAUACUUAACAUGGCAGCUAAGCAUAAAGCAUUAAACAUAGCAGCUAAGAACUGGACCCGCUGCCAACUUUGCUGCACCUGUAGCAAGAGUAACUUUUGGCAGCUAGAGUAUGCUGGAAUAAAAUACUCUGCCUUUAAACAAAAAGAAGGAGAAGAAAGAAUGCUUCAUUUUAUAACUUUUUAUGACAAAAUGCUUCUUGAUCUUAAGCAUUAAGAGCUGCUUUAAAAAUCCUUGGCUAGAAGUAAAAAU